rnacentral:antisense_RNA from 1 species
GUGCGCAGGCGCUUGUGGCUUCGCGGGGCUGACCGUGCGCUUCGCCUGCGGGGUCGUGCUGGGGCGGCGGGUACGCUCUUUGAAGAACAGGUUUCCAUGCUCUUAGAGGAGCAUCAGAAAAUGAACAAACCCCAGAAGUCCAGAAAUUAAGAGACCUGAUAAAGGGAAGCCAGGAAAAUCGAGAUACAUAUUUGUGGUACACUUCAGUCCUCAGUAACAACACACUAAGAAGAGGGAAUACGUUUUUGGGAAAAACCUUAAUCUGGGUACAAACCCAGUUUCUUCAAGAAAAAUAGCCUGUUAGUAUGACUCAUGUGGAAUGAGUUUGAAUACAUUUCAGAAUCAAGUAUUAGUGAUAAAAAUUAUUCCAGUAAUAACACUGAUGAAAUUAAUAUAAGUGAGAAGUUGCCUUUUGAUAGUAAUCAGGAAAACACUCAUACUGGGAAGAAAUCUGUUGUAUAUAACCAAAGUGGGAAGUCACCAAGUCAUAGUGAGGGCCUUAUUGAGGAACAGGAAAUUCAAGCUUUA